UAAAAGUGACAGCCUGAGUUUACCCUCCUUAGCAAGGGUUUCACCUUCUUUAGAGUUUUGACUUGUAAUGCCAGGGAAGCAGAUUACAUGGCAUCCUGUUUUUGCAUUUUGCAAUUACAGAAAUGUACCACUGACAUAUACCAGUAUGCCAGGUGUGUUGGGACAAACAACCCCAAACUAAAAUACACCAGGGACUUCAGUAAACUGCUACAGCAAACAAAAGGAAACCAACAACAAAAACACCCAUUGUGUUUUCCCACAAUUUUUACCGUGCUGCAGCCUUUACAGACAGGACUUGCAUAUUUCCUGCCAGGUUUUUCGAAGCAGAAAUACACAUACAUGCAUUCUAUACCUUGCCUAUGGCAGGCUUGGGAGCAGAGAUGCCCAAGUGCAGCAGGAUGGACCCAAGCUGCUGUCGGUGCACCUCCCUGUUGAGCACAUGGCCCCAGCAGAGCCAGGACUCUCUGCAGCACACUGUGCACAGACCAUGAGUCCCAGCCAAGCUCCUGCAGCCUAGAAGGCAAAAGUUCCUAAUAGGAAGAGGAAAAAAAGGAAAGCAUCUGUCUGAUGUCCUGCUGCGUGAGAGGCACAGCCCUGAGGAAUGAGUCUCACUGCCUUCCUGGGAGUCACGGCCAAUUGAAAAUGCAGACAGAACUGUGAUGCAGGAAACACAGCAAGAGUGACCCCCAAUCCCACUAUUUUGAGCUGCUGAACAUUCUCCUGGAAUGUGACAGAGCAGUUCAGAACAGGUUGGGCUUUCUGUACUUUGUCACAUCACUGGACUAGACCUGAAAGCUGAGAACCUUGGCAUGGGAUUCGGCACAGCAAGUACGACACCUUAUCAUGGCACUGUGUACAUGUCUGUGUGUGUGCUGAGGUGUGAGUUGGAUAUCUCAGCUGCCUCUCAUGACCAGUCUCAGUGUAUCCAGAGAACUCCAGAAAGUUCUUCUGAAACAGACAUCUACCUCUGGUGCCUGAACAGUGAUCCUGUCUCCAGCAGCAGAGUUCAACAGACUGUAAUGGAACCCCAGACAUGGGGGCAUCUCCAGGGACCUGUAUUUAGAUGGCAUCAGCUGUGAGCUGGCUUCCAGCUCAUUCAGUUACCUAAAAAUAGACACCUGGUCCUACUUGAGGCAGGCUGGAAUACUCUCCCUAUCUCUCAUCUGUCACUCUGGAAGACAGAAGUCUUCCACAAGUCCUUUGUCAUGCCUGCUAGUCUCAGGCAAAUACCUUGUAUGGGCAAUCCUGGCUUUCUAAAGUAUCAGUGAAUAUUUAUGUUUAGGUAAAUGACUCAAGUCCUCUUACUAUUUCUGUGUGGUUGUGGGAAAUGGAAAUACAAAGCUGAAAAUUAUAUUGCUGCUGUGUCAUUGCUAGCCAGGGUGGAUAUAUAAUGGAAAAUCCCAGACAGCAUUUAUUCUGCAGCAAAUGCCAAUGGGAUCACUGCAGAUGAGCUGGCUGCUGGCACAAACUGUGUCAGCCUGGAGCUGCCUCUGUGCAUUUGUCAUCACUGACAUUGCUGAUCUGUCUGGGUUUGGGACUGGUCCUAGGGCUACAUGAUUGCAGGAGACAGCAUGAGGCUCAUCGCUCUGCACCCCACAGGGCAGCAGUGCUGCCAGACAGCUCUGAGACAUGUUUACUACUCCUGGGACAACCAAAUACCAAUUGCUGAGCAGACCUUUUACAGAAACUUAGGAGCUAACUGUAGCUGUUGCUGAUUGUUAAAUGCCAUGAGCAUACUGAUAAAUCAGAUGCACUGAAAGCUCUUUUUUGUAGUGUUUAUUCCUUAGAGUGGUUUUGUCUUCCUAGCAGCUUUACUGCCCACAAAACUCUGGGUUGAUUUUUAACAAAUUAACUGGAAAACAGGUUUGAAUGCCUGCCAGGGCUGCUUGUGGUCUCCUCCAAUCACUGUGGCAUGCAGCAGAGUUAGUAACACGCAUUGCAGACUAUUGGUGACCCAGCGCCACACCCCUACUCGCGAAGGGCAUUACAGGUGGAAUUCAACCUUCACACAGGGGUGGAUCAGACAGUUUGGACCACUCUCAGUGUUACCAGGCUUGUGUCAUUGCCUCACAGACCACAGGAAGCUGUUUGCUCAGGCAUAAAACUAUGUUUGUGUUGACACAGAAGCACUUGUUUCUGCUUAGCUAGCGCCUGUUAUAAAACAUUCUGAUCUCACAACUUUCCCUUGCUUCUAAUCAGCUUCAUCUCAGGUUUUACAUAAAUACACAAUGAAGAAAGCUUCAUUUCCAAGCUCUGCCCAGGGACACCUGAAGUUUUCAUUUUUCACGUUAUUAAUGGGGAUGUCCAGAAGUCUUCUGCUGUACAAAUUCAUUCAUGUGCUUCUCCUCCAUAGCCUUGCCCUCUUUUGCCUGCGUUCCUCCUACUCCUGCUACUUUCUACUCCUCCUACUCCUGACUCUGCAGGCUCUGAGCCUAUCUUCUGUAGCCAAAGGAUGGGACCAGUCUUUGGGAGACAUGUCACACUUCCAAAAGCUUUUGAUGAUUUUUCAAGGCCACUGGAUUGUCAGUUCACUUGAGGAAAAAAAAAA